CUGCUAUAGUGUUUCUGCCGCAGCGCUGCAUGCUGAGGUAUCAGUGAAGGCCUGAUUCUGCAGUGUGUUUGUGUUUGUUCGUUCAGCUAAAGCAGAUGGCCUCACCCUUCACUGAGAUGGAGUGCUACACUAUUUUCUUCUCUCUGGUUUUGUUCAGUCUUGUUACACUUCAUGGCCUAAUACAAGAGAAAUGCACGCAUACUACAGACAAUGGAGGUAUGAAAGGAAGACUUGAGGAGCCACUGAUCGUCUGAGUCCGGUUGAUGUCAUACACCAUGGUCAGUCCCGGAUCAGUCCUGACCUGUAUUCUGCUGCCUUUAUUGCACCUAAAACGUGAUCACCUGGACUGGAUCCAGCUGCAAACUCAGGAGUGGAAGUGUGUGUGUUAUGGAUCAUCUGUUUUCAGUUUUUGAGUUGGUCUUCAUCUUCAUUGCCUUCACUAUCAUGUGCUUAUUUGGCCUGGCUGCCAUCUACACCUAUAAUACAGAUCAUCAAGGUGAUUGAAUUCAGACAGAGCAGAUCACAUAACAAAUCAACUCGAAGAAAAUGUCCUCGAUAAACAGGCCCGACUCACCAAAAGCUGUUAACCAAUGGACAGAAGUGAAAUCUGAAAUCACAUACAGGUUUAUAUAUAGUAGGUGAAAAAAACAGUAUGUGACAAAAAGAAGCAUGCCUGAAUUUAAAAUGCGGGAAAAGGGUACAAGGAUGACAACAUGGCAACUGAAUGUCCAGAUUAUAUGUAUACCACACUAUAUUGGCCCUAUAUAAUUGCCAUCGAUUAACCACCCAGCCAGGUGGCCAGGUGAUGUCAGAUUGUAGUUUUGGAGACUUUUUGAGCCUAAGAUUUUGGGCCAUUUGAACCAUUGUCCUAUAACAGUAGCUGAGGUUUCCUCAUCCUGUGUUAAUGCAUACUUUGAAGAAGUGAUGAAAAUGCCAAAUUUUUUAUGAAAAAAUCCCUUAAUUCGCAAACAAACUUUUUAUAAGCUCACUUGAGCUGGCUUUGGACUUGUGUGAAAAAGGUUUAAUGCAAAUAUUGGGAGAUGAAAACUCCUUUUUAGAAUAAAAUGAUGUAGCGAACAUUAAACCCACAUGAUUCCAUUAUGCUUGCCUUGUUUACUGUUAGUUUCUAGGUUACCAAUACUACAGUCGGUUGCUCUAAAAACAUGAUGGAAACACACCUAAUUAGGAUAUGUUUAUAUUUUUUAACGAAAAUUUGAAAAGAUUCACUUUAAGUUAGGGUGCAAACCUGGCUAGUGAUAAAGUGAUUCAACUGAUUCAUAAGACUUGGAGUUGAGUGUAAUUUCUAAAUGAUUUCCCUAAUGUCAGAAACCGGGUAUGUCGUGGCAUUUUCUGUGUUAUUGUUAUUUUUAUAAGAGCCACUUCCUAUUUUGUAAAGCUCAGCAACACUUUUGCUGUAAAUCACAGUUCUGUUCUUUGGUCUUCCCCAUUGUGCUGAAUGACUGAGUGAGUUUGGCCUUUGUGUUACCUCAUAUUUAUAGCCCUGUGAAACAGGAGGUCGUGAUUCUAGUCACCCAGGUGUAAAAAAAAGGAAAGGAAAAUAUCAAUGUGAAUAUACUUAAAAAAAUGCUCAUAUAAAUUCAUAGCAGUGUAAAUAAUGGUGGCACACAUACAUUUAACAGAUAUAUUUGUUGUUCAUAAAACAAAUGGAUCCAUUUAAUGUUAAUGAGCAAAAGAUUUCAUAGCCAGUUUCAUAGCCUUUUUUUUUUUGCUCAUAUUUCAUCUUAAGGGUGCCAAUAUUAGUGUAAUGCACUGUAGAAUGCACAUUUAAGUGGUUGCCAAGUAAUUACUUAAUCUCCUCAAGAGAGCAUGUGAUUUCGGAAGCAGCCAGCCUGUGUAUCUGAAGAUCUCUGAGACUGAGAAUUCCCUCAGCUGUCUCUGAUUGGCUUGAAUGUAUGACCCCGAUAGGUAAUUAACCAGUGAAAGAAAGGUAAAGAGGAUUUAUUGAAAUUGAAACCCCUCCUCUUUCCCCUCUUAAAGCUGCUUAACAUUUGUAAUGUAAUUUAAAACCUGUUGGGAGUUCUUAUGUUACCUGUUCUUACACUUUGGAAGGCAGACUAUUGGUGGUGGAAGUCUUUAGCAAUAAAAAUAGAAAAAUGUGUACUACUGAAGGUAUUUUGUAUAUUUAUAUUACAUUGUAUAUACACAAGUUAUUUCCAUUAAGUAAUACUGUGAUUUUUAUAUGCUUUUGGCUGUAUUGUAUUUAAUUUUCCACUUAUAGCUUUGUCACUUUUCUAUGUUAAAAUAAUAUAACAGUAAUCGAAAAUGGUUACUUUCCUUGUGUAAUGUCAAGGGAACAUUUUAUUUCAAAAUGGAAAUGUAUUUUGUUUAUUAAAAUGUGAAAUUAAUGUUUUAA